AUUAGUGCUGUAAAGCUUGCAACGAAUUAAGAGAACAGCUUGUUAUCCUAAAUUAAACAGCUAAAUUGUUAAUUACUAGCUAUGUUACUAACAAUACUAACUAUGUUAAUCCUGAAACUGUUAGAAGAGUCAUCAGGGCUCGGAACAGGUGACAGAGAAUCAGGGUUCGAUUCCGGAGAGGAAGCCUGAGAAACGGCGGCCAUAUUCAAGGAUGGCAGCAGGUGCACAAAUUACCCACUCCUAAAACGGGGAGGUCAUAGGAU
rnacentral:ncRNA from 1 species